rnacentral:rRNA from 1 species
GGCCUUUUGAUAAUAAUUUAAGGUCGGGCCUGCCCAAUGAAAUUUUAAAUGGCCGCGGUAUUUUAACCGUGCAAAGGUAGCAUAAUCAUUAGUUUUUUAAUUGAAAGCUGGGAUGAAGGGUUUAAUGAAAAAAUUACUGUCUCUAUCUAAAUUUAUUAGAAAUUUAUUUUUAAGUAAAAAAGCUUAAAUAAUUAUUAAAGACGAGAAGACCCCAUAGAGUUUUAUAUCUAAAGAAUUUAUUGUAUUUAGGAUUUUUAAAUUAUUUUUGUAAGGUAUUUAGUUGGGGCGAUUAAAAAAUUUGAGUAACUUUUUUUAAAAUGACCAUUGAUUUAUGAUUAAUUGAUCCUUUUUUUAGAUUAAAAGAUAAAAUUACCUUGGGGAUAACAGCGUAAUUUUUUUUUAAAGUUCCUAUUGAAAUAAAAGAUUGCGACCUCGAUGUUGGAUUAAAAUUUAAUUGCUGGUGUAGCAGCUAGCAAAUUAGGUCUGUUCGACCUUUAAAAUUUUACAUGAUCUGAGUUUAGACCGGUUUGAG